rnacentral:lncRNA from 1 species
GACACGAGCCAGGUCGAUCGGGGCGGCUCAGCUGCACUUCGCGCCGCUGCGCGAGUCCCGAGCGACGGACUCCGUAGCGAGUACGCAGGUGCAACUUCGGCUGGUCAACCGAAAGAUGUCGAAACAAAUUUCGUACGCAUGGCCAAAGUCAACGAGUGUUAACGGAGUAACACAUGCAGCUUAACACAGAUUGUAGUGCAAGCGGCGACAAUACAAACGAGUCGGAUACGGCAUCGUUUAGCCGCGUGUACUGAGUGCGGUUUGACAAGUAGCGUUGCAGUAACCUGUAGACGUCGUGUCCACUCUGUUAGCAGGAGCAUUUAUAGACUAUAUAUAUGACAACAUCACAAAAUUGUUACUACGAGCACUGUGAGAAUGAAGUGUACUCCGCAGUUCCACUGACCUUUAAUAAAGAAGACGGCCAGCUGCAACCAUGCCAGAGUGCUGACUACUUGAAGUGCAGCGAAUGGAAGCGCAUCGCAUCAAGAACAACAGUCGAGGAAUGAACCUCAUCGCACGAGGUGGUCGCGGGCGUUCAGUUUCCCACGUUCCAGAAAUAA